UGGGUCUUGGAGUUUUCUUAUUCC
rnacentral:piRNA from 1 species